rnacentral:rRNA from 1 species
UACGAACCGUACAAACGUUUAUUCGGAAUCACUGGGCUUAAAGGGUGCGUAGGCGGCCAUGUAAGUGGGGUGUGAAAUCCCUCGGCUCAACCGAGGAACUGCGCUCCAUACUGCAUGGCUUGAGGGAGACAGGGGUAAGCGGAACUGAUGGUGGAGCGGUGAAAUGCGUAGAUAUCGUCUGGAACGCCAAAGGUGAAAACAGACUGCUGGGAGUGUGCUGACGCUGAGACACGAAAGCCAGGGGAGCAAAGCGGG